GACGAACGCUGGCGGCGUGCUAAUACAUGCAAGUCGAACGCACUCUCGUUUAGAUUGAAGGAGCUUGCUCCUGAUUGAUAAACAUUUGAGUGAGUGGCGGACGGGUGAGUAACACGUGGGUAACCUGCCCUAAAGUGGGGGAUAACAUUUGGAAACAGAUGCUAAUACCGCAUAAAACCUAACACCGCAUGGUGUAGGGUUGAAAGAUGGUUUCGGCUAUCACUUUAGGAUGGACCCGCGGUGCAUUAGUUAGUUGGUGAGGUAAAGGCUCACCAAGACCGUGAUGCAUAGCCGACCUGAGAGGGUAAUCGGCCACACUGGGACUGAGACACGGCCCAGACUCCUACGGGAGGCAGCAGUAGGGAAUCUUCCACAAUGGACGAAAGUCUGAUGGAGCAACGCCGCGUGAGUGAAGAAGGUUUUCGGAUCGUAAAACUCUGUUGUUGGAGAAGAAUGUAUCUGAUAGUAACUGAUCAGGUAGUGACGGUAUCCAACCAGAAAGCCACGGCUAACUACGUGCCAGCAGCCGCGGUAAUACGUAGGUGGCAAGCGUUGUCCGGAUUUAUUGGGCGUAAAGCGAGCGCAGGCGGUUUCUUAAGUCUGAUGUGAAAGCCUUCGGCUCAACCGAAGAAGUGCAUCGGAAACUGGGAAACUUGAGUGCAGAAGAGGACAGUGGAACUCCAUGUGUAGCGGUGAAAUGCGUAGAUAUAUGGAAGAACACCAGUGGCGAAGGCGGCUGUCUGGUCUGUAACGGACGCUGAGCUCGAAAGCAUGGGUAGCAAACAGGAU
rnacentral:rRNA from 2 species